rnacentral:rRNA from 1 species
AAGGGAGACUGCUAAUACCAGUUUCCUGUGACGUUACCCACAGAAGAAGCACCGGCUAACUCCGUGCCAGCAGCCGCGGUAAUACGGAGGGUGCGAGCGUUAAUCGGAAUUACUGGGCGUAAAGCGUGCGUAGGCGGCCUUUUAAGUUGGAUGUGAAAGCCCCGGGCUUAACCUGGGAACUGCAUCCAAAACUGGAAGGCUUGAGUGCGAGAGAGGAGUGUGGAAUUUCCUGUGUAGCGGUGAAAUGCGUAGAUAUAGGAAGGAACACCAGUGGCGAAGGCGACACUCUGGCUUGACACUGACGCUGAGGUACGAAAGCGUGGGGAGCAAACAGGAUUAGAUACCCUGGUAGUCCACGCCGUAAACGAUGUCUACUAGUUGUCGGUGGUCUUGUACUGCUGGUAACGCAGCUAACGCGAUAAGUAGACCGCCUGGGGAGUACGGCC